AAUCCUCCAACUACCCCUGGCUGCAGCCUGCAGACCGGGGCGUGCCUCAACGUGGGCGGAGUUAAACGUUUAAUGGGCGGAGUUAAACGUCCACGUUGAGGGACGCCCACUGUUUGUGAUUCUUCUUCGUCACCGCAAUCUUUCGUCUUCUUCUUUGCAUUUUACAAGUUUCCACAUCGAUUUUUGCAAAAUGGAGACACUCUGCACACCUUCUCUCCUCCUGGAGGACACUUGUCAGAGAUGAUGUUCCGGUCUGAUAUGUCAUUGUCUCAGCUGACAUUUUCCAUUUGCUCUGUAUCCUUUAAUCAAAACAUUUUUUCACCCCCAGACUUUGUCCUAGUGGUGAUCUCCAACAACUGUGGGAUGUUUCUUAGAAUGGUCUAAAGAAAACAGAAUGCAAGCCAGAAAACGGCGUCGGGAAGAGCAGUAACCACAUGUGAGAGGACGCCGUUUGGAUCACAGUGCAAAUAUUGCAGGGAGACCAGCUACUAUUUGAAGGGGGAGAUGACAUGAAGACCAACAGUGGGACAGAGAAGAUUAAGGAAAAAAACUCCUCCCUAUUCAAGAAAUUGCAGCUUUACUGUAUGACAUCAUAAGGGCAGCCAAAUGCUCCAGAACACCAGCGUUUCCAGGAAGAUGGUCCCUGCCUGAUGUUAUAGAGAUGGAAGACGGGAACUCUGAAAGAACUCCAAACCUGUGACUUCAUGAGUGAAGGGAAGAGAAUCCUGGAGCUGAGGGAUCCUUUCAUGUUCUCUUUUCAGUUGAAAAGUGACUGAAACAUUUUUAGUGCAGAAAUAAUGGAUGUGAAGAACUUAAAAGUGUAUAUGUGUUUGGAGGAGCAAUAAACAGUUUUGGCUGGUUGUUUCUU